rnacentral:rRNA from 1 species
GAUCAUGGCUCAGAUUGAACGCUGGCGGAAUGCUUUACACAUGCAAGUCGAACGGUAGAGGGGGCAACCCCUCGAGAGUGGCGAACGGGUGAGUAAUAUAUCGGAACGUGCCCAGUCGUGGGGGAUAACGUAGCGAAAGUUACGCUAAUACCGCAUACGAUCUAAGGAUGAAAGCGGGGGAUCGCAAGACCUCGCGCGAUUGGAGCGGCCGAUAUCAGAUUAGGUAGUUGGUGGGGUAAAGGCUCACCAAGCCAACGAUCUGUAGCUGGUCUGAGAGGACGACCAGCCACACUGGAACUGAGACACGGUCCAGACUCCUACGGGAGGCAGCAGUGGGGAAUUUUGGACAAUGGACGCAAGUCUGAUCCAGCCAUUCCGCGUGCAGGAUGAAGGCCCUCGGGUUGUAAACUGCUUUUGUACGGAACGAAAAGGCUCUUCCUAAUACGAAGGGCUCAUGACGGUACCGUAAGAAUAAGCACCGGCUAACUACGUG